GGGUCUGUAGCUCAGCGGCAAGAGCGUUCGGCUUACAUCCGAAAGGUCCCUGGUUCGAAUCCAGGCAGGCCCACCA
rnacentral:tRNA from 4 species